rnacentral:rRNA from 1 species
GUGUCAGCCGCCGCGGUAAUACGUAGGGGGCAAGCGUUGUCCGGAUUUACUGGGCGUAAAGCGCGUGUAGGCGGCCGAGCAGGUCUGUUGUGAAAACUGGAGGCUCAACCUCCAGACGUCGACAGAAACCGCCCGGCUAGAGUCCGGAAGAGGAGAGUGGAAUUCCUGGUGUAGCGGUGAAAUGCGCAGAUAUCAGGAAGAACACCAAUGGCGAAGGCAGCUCUCUGGGACGGUACUGACGCUGAGACGCGAAAGCGUGGGGAGCGAACAGGAUUAGAAACCCGAGUAGUCC